UACAGCGUCGCGUGCGAAUGACGUCAUCAACCGCGCUGGGCCGCUUGUGGAUGACGUCAUUCACAUGCAGCUGCGAUCGUAUCUUUCGCGCCGAAAGAUAACGGCUGGGACUAAGUAAAAAGUAGUAAAAAUGGAGACAUAGCGAAACGCUGAUGUCUCCAUUUUUACUGCUUUUUACUACUUGAAUGGACUGAGGGUGAUGAUAGUGGGGCGCAUAGUAUUUUGGCGAUUGACUGUGUCCGGAACUUUUCAGUUCAAGAUUUUUUUGCCUCGACUGAACAAAACGAGAAGCUGGUGGAAUGGCGAAACGGCCGCCAACCCUGGCCGGUUCACCCAGCCAAAAUUAUUGACGUGGCAAGGGAAGACUGAGAAGGCUUAAAAAAAGGUAACUGACUGCACCAAUUGGUGCUUUAGUUUAAGUUAUCUCCCCUCUCUUGUUUCUUAAUGUGUAUGUUUGUAGGUUUGUAAUUGUGUCAUCUAUGAUGAUUUAAUGUGCUUUGCCAAGAUAUAUGUGCAAGGUGGUGUAACGCAAGUUAAUAAGAGUUGGGCUAAAAGUCAGUGUCUUGUGGGUUGACAGUAAAAAGGGAGGGUCUUCCAAAAACAAGCACCAGGAGGGUGAGAAGCAGGAGGAGGGUCAUGACAGACUUUCAAAGAACAAGGUUGUCGUGAAAAAGAAAAAUGUUUCUAAAUACGAGACAGGAGGAGGAGGAGAAAGUGGAUGAUGAGGCGCGUCAUGACACAAAGAACAAGGUGGGAAGCCAACCAGAGGGGACGGGGAGCAGCUGGUUGCCCUGGACAAAAUAAAAAAGGCAGCCAUUAUUGGCAUCAAUGGAGACUGGAUAAGAUGCUACAUUGAAGAAAUGGCCGGCAGCCAGCCGAGGGCAGAUAGGAACAGCUAUAAAUUCCAAGCUCGCAGAGAUGCGAAGAUCCAUUAAAUGAUUUUUUUUGUU